rnacentral:ribozyme from 1 species
UGCCCAGCAACUCCUACCACUACCUCCUCGUGGUACUGGCCGGGGUACGAGUAACCUUGGGGAAGAUCGGGUAACCAACCCCCGGUGGGAACUUUGGUCGUAUGCUGACAGGGAAGG